rnacentral:rRNA from 1 species
UACAGAGGGGGCAAGCGUUGUUCGGAAUUACUGGGCGUAAAGGGCGCGUAGGCGGCCCGUCAAGUCCCGUGUGAAAGCCCCCGGCUCAACCGGGGAACGGCGCGGGAAACUAGCAGGCUUGAGUUCGGGAGAGGGAAGCGGAAUUCCGGGUGUAGCGGUGAAAUGCGUAGAUAUCCGGAGGAACACCGGUGGCGAAGGCGGCUUCCUGGACCGACACUGACGCUGAGGCGCGAAAGCUAGGGGAGCAAACGGG